rnacentral:rRNA from 1 species
UACGUAGGGACCAAGCGUUGUUCGGAUUUACUGGGCGUAAAGGGCGCGUAGGCGGCAUGACAAGUCACUUGUGAAAUCUCCGGGCUUAACUCGGAACGGUCAAGUGAUACUGUCGCGCUAGAGUGCGGAAGGGGCAAUCAGAAUUCUUGGUGUAGCGGUGAAAUGCGUAGAUAUCAAGAGGAAUACCUGAGGUGAAGACGGGUUGCUAGGCCGACACUGACGCUGAAGCGCGAAAGCCAGGGGGGCAAACGGG